rnacentral:tRNA from 1 species
CCUCCUUUCUAAGGAUGAAUGAAAGUAAAAUUUCAUUCUAAAUAAUAUACAUCGGUAAUGUUGACCGUCCUCAUUUCUCUUCUUAAAGUAAUGUUUCCUUCUUGUGGGGCCGGUAGCUCAGUUGGUUAGAGCACACCCUUGAUAAGGGUGGGGUCGAAAGUUCGAGUCUUUCUCGGCCCACCAUACUUAACUGGGGGAUUAGCUCAGCUGGGAGAGCGCCUGAUUUGCAUUCAGGAGGUCAGCGGUUCGAUCCCGCUAUCCUCCACCAGGAAACGUUUAGUUAUAAAAAUUGUAAAUAAAAAUAAUAAUUAAUAUCAAUAUCUAUAUCCGAACAUUAGUAAUGUUAUUAGCUAAUGUUCAAAAUAAAAAUUUGAUCACAACAUAGAUGAUUUUCUGUUAAAUGAAUUUUUUUCUGUGCAUAAAUCAAGCGUUUAAGGGCGUGUAGUGGAUGCCUGGGCACUGAAAGCC